rnacentral:rRNA from 1 species
AUUGAACGCUGGCGGCAGGCUUAACACAUGCAAGUCGAGCGGGGAAAGGUAGCUUGCUACUUAACCUAGCGGCGGACGGGUGAGUAAUGCUUAGGAAUCUGCCUAUUAGUGGGGGACAACAUCUCGAAAGGGAUGCUAAUACCGCAUACGUCCGACGGGAGAAAGCAGGGGACCUUCGGGCCUUGCGCUAAUAGAUGAGCCGAAGUCGGAUUAGCUAGUUGGUGGGGUAAAGGCCUACCAAGGCGACGAUCUGUAGCGGGUCUGAGAGGAUGAUCCGCCACACUGGGACUGAGACACGGCCCAGACUCCUACGGGAGGCAGCAGUGGGGAAUAUUGGACAAUGGGGGGAACCCUGAUCCAGCCAUGCCGCGUGUGUGAAGAAGGCCUUUUGGUUGUAAAGCACUUUAAGCGAGGAGGAGGCUACCGAGAUUAAUACUUUUGGAUAGUGGACGUUACUCGCAGAAUAAGCACCGGCUAACUCUGUGCCAGCAGCCGCCGUAA